AGUCACUGACAUUAGAUACCCCCGUAGUCCAGGGUGUAAACGCUGCAGACUUGGUGUUGGAGGUCCUUUGGGGCAUUCAGUGCCGGAGAGAAGUUGUUAAGUCUGCUACUUGGGGAGUACGUCCGCAAGGAUGAAACUUAAAGGAAUUGGCGGGGGAGCACCGCAACGGGAGGAGCGUGCGGUUUAAUUGGAUUCAACACCGUAAACUCACCAGGGAAGACUGUUACAUGAAAGCCGAGAUGAAGACUCUGCUAGAUUUUCAG
rnacentral:rRNA from 1 species